rnacentral:rRNA from 1 species
CUCAACACGGGAAAACUUACCAGGUCCGAACAUAAGCGUGUAAGACAGAUUGAUAGCUCUUUCUCGAAUCUAUGGGUGGUGGUGCAUGGCCGUUCUUAGUUCGUGGAGUGAUUUGUCUGGUUAAUUCCGAUAACGAACGAGACUCAAAUAUAUUAAAUAGAUGCUUUCAGGACUAUGGUGUUGAAGCUUAUUAUAGCCUUCAUUCAUGAUUUCACAAAUUGUGUUAAAAUGUUUGAAUGUGUUUAUAUAAGUGGAGUCAUACCUGUUGGUUUGUCCCAUUAUAA